AGAUUGAACGCUGGCGGCAGGCCUAACACAUGCAAGUCGAGCGGUAGAGAGGUGCUUGCACCUCUUGAGAGCGGCGGACGGGUGAGUAAUGCCUAGGAAUCUGCCUAGUGGUGGGGGAUAACGUUCGGAAACGGACGCUAAUACCGCAUACGUCCUACGGGAGAAAGCGGGGGACCUUCGGGCCUCGCGCCAUUAGAUGAGCCUAGGUCGGAUUAGCUAGUGGUGAGGUAAUGGCUCACCAAGGCGACGAUCCGUAACUGGUCUGAGAGGAUGAUCAGUCACACUGGAACUGAGACACGGUCCAGACCUCCGUACGGGAGGCAGCGAGGUGGGGAAUAUUGGAACAAGUGGGACGAAAGCCUAGACUCCAGCCAGUCGCCGCGUGGUGUAGAAGAAGGUC
rnacentral:rRNA from 1 species